rnacentral:rRNA from 1 species
UCGGCAUGUCUAGUAUAGCAAUUAUACCGUGAAACUGCGAAUGGCUCAUUAAAUCAGUUAUCGUUUAUUUGAUAGUACCUUACUACUUGGAUAACCGUGGUAAUUCUAGAGCUAAUACAUGCUGAAAACCCCAACUUCGGGAGGGGUGUAUUUAUUAGAUAAAAAACCAACGCCCUUCGGGGCUUCUUGGUGAUUCAUGAUAACUUCACGGAUCGCAUGGCCUUGCGCCGGCGACGGUUCAUUCAAAUUUCUGCCCUAUCAACUUUCGAUGGUAAGGUAUUGGCUUACCAUGGUUUCAACGGGUAACGGGGAAUUAGGGUUCGAUUCCGGAGAGGGAGCCUGAGAAACGGCUACCACAUCCAAGGAAGGCAGCAGGCGCGCAAAUUACCCAAUCCCGACACGGGGAGGUAGUGACAAUAAAUACUGAUACAGGGCUCUUUUGGGUCUUGUAAUUGGAAUGAGUACAAUUUAAACCUCUUAACGAGGAACAAUUGGAGGGCAAGUCUGGUGCCAGCAGCCGCGGUAAUUCCAGCUCCAAUAGCGUAUAUUAAAGUUGUUGCAGUUAAAAAGCUCGUAGUUGAAACUUGGGCCUGGCUGGCAGGUCCGCCUCACCGCGUGUACUUGUCCGGCCGGGCCUUUCCUUCUGGAGAACCUCAUGCCCUUCACUGGGUGUGUUGGGGAACCAGGACUUUUACUUUGAAAAAAUUAGAGUGUUCAAAGCAGGCCUUUGCUCGAAUACGUUAGCAUGGAAUAAUAGAAUAGGACGUGCGGUCCUAUUUUGUUGGUUUCUAGGACCGCCGUAAUGAUUAAUAGGGACAGUCGGGGGCAUCAGUAUUCAAUUGUCAGAGGUGAAAUUCUUGGAUUUAUUGAAGACUAACUACUGCGAAAGCAUUUGCCAAGGAUGUUUUCAUUAAUCAGUGAACGAAAGUUAGGGGAUCGAAGACGAUCAGAUACCGUCGUAGUCUUAACCGUAAACUAUGCCGACUAGGGAUCGGGCGAUGUUCUUUUUCUGACUCGCUCGGCACCUUACGAGAAAUCAAAGUUUUUGGGUCUGGGGGAGUACGGCACGCU